UUGGAGGGCAAGUCUGGUGCCAGCAGCCGCGGUAACUCCAGCUCCAAUAGCGUAUAUUAAAGUUGUUGCAGUUAAAAAGCUCGUAGUUGAACCUCGGGGUCUACCCAUUGGUCAGGCUUAAUUGUCUGCACUGGUGAGAUGGAUCUCUACCUUCUGAGGAACUUUCAUGCCAUUUAUUUGGUGUGAUGGGAAAUCAGGACUGUUACUUUGAAAAAAUUAGAGUGUUUAAAGCAGACUAUCGUCUGAAUACAUUAGCAUGGAAUAAUGAAAUAGGACGGACUGACUCUAUUUCGUUGGUUUCUAGGAUCACCGUAAUGAUUAAUAGGGAUAGUUGGGGGCAUUAGUAUUCAAUUGUCAGAGGUGAAAUUCUUGGACUUAUUGAAGACUAACUACUGCGAAAGCAUUUGCCAAGGAUGUUUUCAUUAAUCAAGAACGAAAGUUAGGGGAUCGAAGACGAUCAGAUACCGUCGUAGUCUUAACCAUAAACUAUGCCGACUAGGGAUCGGAUGAUGUUAAUUUUUUAAUGACUCAUUCGGCGCCUUACGGGAAACCAAAGUGUUUGGGUUC
rnacentral:rRNA from 1 species